UGAUUAUAGUGGUGAAGAUGACGAUGACGAGGAGGAUGACGUGGAAGCUCUAUUGGCCGAGCUUGAACAAAUAAAGAAGGAAAAAGCAGAGGAGAAGUUACGGAAGGAACGACUAGAGAGGGAGGAAGAGCUUAAAGUCAAGGAAGCAGAGCUCACGGGUUUGUUGCUUGCUCGUGAGCCUCGUGGGAGACUGGUUCUAUGCGAGCUGUAAUUGCUUAAGUUUCACCUUAGCAACCUUUCAGCAUUAUGACUUUCUAAGGACUCACUCUUGGUUAUGUGUAGCCACUUCAAACUUGAGUAUGUAACUCAGUGAGAAGUGAGAACUAAAAUGAUCUUCAAGCAACCAGCACAUACUUGAAUAUGUA